rnacentral:rRNA from 1 species
CAGUCGCCGCGGUAAUACGAAGGGUGCAAGCGUUACUCGGAAUUACUGGGCGUAAAGCGUGCGUAGGUGGUGGUUUAAGUCCGUUGUGAAAGCCCUGGGCUCAACCUGGGAAUUGCAGUGAAUACUGGGUCACUAGAGUGUGGUAGAGGAUAGUGGAAUUUCCGGUGUAGCAGUGAAAUGCGUAGAGAUCGGAAGGAACAUCUGUGGCGAAGGCGACUAUCUGGGCCAACACUGACACUGAGGCACGAAAGCGUGGGGAGCAAACAGGAUUAGAUACCCCUGUAGUCCCUGUCUCUUAUAC